rnacentral:rRNA from 1 species
AGCAUAUCAAUAAGCGGAGGAAAAGAAACUAACAAGGAUUCCCUUAGUAACGGCGAGUGAAGAGGGAAGAGCUCAAAUUUGAAAUCUGGCAGUCUACGGCUGUCCGAGUUGUAAUCUAGAGAAGUGUUUUCCGUGCUGGACCGUGUACAAGUCCUUUGGAACAAGGCGUCAUAGAGGGUGAGAAUCCCGUCUACGACACGGACUACCAGUGCUCUGUGAUACACUCUCAACGAGUCGAGUUGUUUGGGAAUGCAGCUCAAAAUGGGUGGUAAAUUCCAUCUAAAGCUAAAUAUAGGCGAAAGACCGAUAGCGAACAAGUACCGUGAGGGAAAGAUGAAAAGCACUUUGGAAAGAGAGUUAAACAGUACGUGAAAUUGUUGAAAGGGAAACGCUUGAAGUCAGUCGCGUCUUCAGAAACUCAGCCUGGCUUCUGCCUGGUGUACUUUUCUGUUGGACGGGCCAGCAUCAGUUUUGGCCGCCAGAAAAAGGUGAGAGGAAGGUGGCACCCUCCGGGGUGUGUUAUAGCCUCUCAUCGUAUGUGGCGGCUGGGACUGAGGAYCGCAGCACGCCUUCAAUGGCCGGGGUUCGCCCACGUUACGUGCUUAGGAUGCUGGCGUAAUGGCUUUAAACGACCCGUCUUGAAACACGGACCAAGGAGUCUAACAUGCCUGCGAGUAUUUGGGUGGCAAACCCAUAUGCGAAAUGAAAGUGAACGGUUGGGACUUCUGUCAUGGAAGGCACCGACGCCCGGACCAGACCUACUGUGACGGAUCCGAGGUAGAGCAUGUAUGUUGGGACCCGAAAGAUGGUGAACUAUGCCUGAGUAGGGUGAAGCCAGAGGAAACUCUGGUGGAGGCUCGUAGCGAUUCUGACGUGCAAAUCGAUCGUCGAACUUGGGUAUAGGGGCGAAAGACUAAUCGAAC